UACGUAGGGUGCAAGCGUUGUCCGGAAUUAUUGGGCGUAAAGAGCUCGUAGGCGGUCUGUCGCGUCUGCUGUGAAAACUCAGGGCUUAACCCUGAGCUUGCAGUGGGUACGGGCAGACUAGAGUGCGGUAGGGGAGACUGGAAUUCCUGGUGUAGCGGUGAAAUGCGCAGAUAUCAGGAGGAACACCGGUGGCGAAGGCGGGGUCUCUGGGGCCGGUAAACUGACGCUGGAGGAGCGAAAGCAUGGGGAGCGAACAGG
rnacentral:rRNA from 1 species